AAAGUCGUAACAAGGUUUCCGUAGGUGAACCUGCGGAAGGAUCAUUACAAAUCCAAGUCAAGUCUAUUGACAAGUUGAAAUGUGUGUGUGAGAGAGAGAGAAUAUAUUUCCACACAAAAUCCAUACAUCAGUUGAACAACAAAUAUCAUUCAUUCAAUAUUCUACACAACUUGUAACAAUGGAUCUCUAGGCUCUU
rnacentral:misc_RNA from 1 species